GCUCAGUAACACGUGGAUAACCUACCCUUAGGACUGGGAUAACCCUGGGAAACUGGGGCUAAUACCGGAUAGAUGAUUUUUCCUGGAAUGGUUUUUUGUUUAAAUGUUUUUUCGCCUAAGGAUGGGUCUGCGGCAGAUUAGGUGGUUGGUUAGGUAAUGGCUUACCAAGCCUAUGAUCUGUACGGGUUGUGAGAGCAAGAGCCCGGAGAUGGAAUCUGAGACACGAUUCCAGGCCCUACGGGGCGCAGCAGGCGCGAAAACUUUACAAUGCAGGAAACUGUGAUAAGGGAACCCCGAGUGCCCGUACACGCGGGCUGUCCCGGUGUUUAAAACACAUCGGAAGAAAGGGCCGGGCAAGACCGGUGCCAGCCGCCGCGGUAAUACCGGCGGCUCGAGUGGUGACCACUUUUAUUGGGCUUAAAGCGUUCGUAGCUUGAUUUUUAAGUCUCUUGGGAAAUCUCACGGCUUAACUGUGAGGCGUCUAAGAGAUACUGGGAAUCUAGGGACCGGGAGAGGUAAGAGGUACUUCAGGGGUAGAAGUGAAAUUCUGUAAUCCUUGAGGGACCACCGAUGGCGAAGGCAUCUUACCAGAACGGCUUCGACAGUGAGGAACGAAAGCUGGGGGAGCGAACGGGAUUAGAUACCCCGGUAGUCCCAGCCGUAAACUAUGCGCGUUAGGUGUGCCUGUAACUACGAGUUACCGGGGUGCCGAAGUGAAAACGUGAAACGUGCCGCCUGGGAAGUACGGUCGCAAGGCUGAAACUUAAAGGAAUUGGCGGGGGAGCAC
rnacentral:rRNA from 1 species